rnacentral:rRNA from 1 species
AUGGCUCGCCGUCUCCUCCUGUCCGUGGCCGUCGUCGCGGUGACGCUUCUCGCGCCGCCCGGCGCGGCGGGAUACCCGUGGCCGCUUUGCGGCCAAGCCGGCGGCUUCCCGGCGGGCAGCGAUUACAAGGCGAGCCUCGGCCUCCUCGCCGCCACCAUGCCCAGAAACGCCUCCAUGUCGCCGGGCCUCUUCGCCACCGCGCAGGCCGGCGCCGCCCCGGAGAAGGCGUGGGCCCUCGCGCUCUGCCGCGGGGACGCCGGCGCCUCCUACUGCUUCAGCUGCCUCGACCAGGCCUUCCAGGACCUCAUCAGCUCGUGCGACUACAAGGACGCCACCAUCUACUUCGACUCCUGCGUGCUCACCUACUCCAACAUCCACUUCCGCGCCGCCGACGACACCAAGUACAGCCCGGUAUACCCGAUCCGCAACCUUGCCAACGCCACGGCGGAUCCGGCGGGGUUCCAGCGCCUCGUGGCGGCGCUCGUGAACGCCACCGCCAGCAGCGCCGCCUUCAGCUCCUCCACGCGCCUGUACGCGUCCGGGCAGGCCGACUUUGACAAGGAGCUGCCGCAGGUGUACAGCUGGGCGCAGUGCACGCCGGACAUGUCGCCGGACCGCUGCUGGGGGUGCCUCGUCCGGCUCAUGAGGGAGUUGCCGACGUUCUUCACGGACGGCAUCGGAGCCAGGGUUCUCGGGAUCAGGUGCAGCAUCAGGUACGAAACCCAGCCCUUCUUCAAUGGCACCGUCACCGUGCGGCUGUCGGCAACAUCAGCCAGAGCGCCGGCGCCGGCCCCGGCGCCUAAUGUCGCGGCAGUUGGAAAAGGAAGAAGGUACAGUGUUCCUAUCAUGGUUCCUAUAAUUCUGUUGCCCAUCCUAUCAGCCACCAGCCUCAUCGCCUGCUUCUUAUUACGGAGGAGGCUGGGGCCACUGACCGAAGAAAAGCAGCCAUAUCCCAGUUAUUCCGCUGAAGCUGAAGACGACAUUGAGAGUGCAAACUCGAUGAUGAUUGACAUUUUAACACUACAAGUUGCGACUGGCGAUUUUGCGGAGAGCAACAAGCUCGGGGAAGGAGGAUUCGGUGCGGUGUACAAGGGCACGCUCCCUGACGGCAAGCAAAUAGCAGUGAAGAGGAUGUCGAAGAGCUCAGCCCAAGGAGUGGACGAGCUGAAGAAUGAACUGGCUUUGGUUGCAAAGCUCAAGCACAAGAACCUUGUCUGGCUCAUUGGUGUUUGCCUGGAGCAACAGGAGAGGCUGCUAGUCUACGAGUUCGUUCCUAACCGAAGCCUCGACCUCAUUAUUUUCGAUAGUGCAAAGUGCGAGCAACUUGAUUGGGCGAAGAGGUACAAGAUCAUAGAUGGAAUCGCUCGGGGCCUACAGUACCUCCAUGAAGAUUCUCAGCUCAAAGUAGUUCACCGUGAUCUCAAAGCCAGCAACAUCCUACUCGAUAUGAACAACAUCCCUAAGAUAUCGGACUUUGGCCUCGCUAAGAUCUUCGGGCGAGACCAGACGCAAGGUGUCACCAGCCGUGUCGUUGGAACAUAUGGAUAUAUGGCGCCAGAGUACAUGAUGCGAGGGAACUACUCGGUGAAGUCGGACGCUUUCAGCUUCGGGGUUAUGGUCCUUGAGAUCGUGACUGGGAGGAGGAACAAUGGCGACAGCUCCGGGCAGUUUGAAGAUCUCCUUACCACGGUGUGGGAGCACUCGACGACCGGGACAGUGUUCGAGGUGGUAGACCCGUCCAUGAACGGUAGGUUCAUGGAGAAAGAUGUUCUCAAGUGCGUCCACAUAGGGCUCCUUUGCGUCCAGGAGAACCCAAUGGACCGGCCAACAAUGUCCACCGUGGUCACAAUGCUCGGCAGUGAGACAUUUACUCUCCAUGCGCCCUCCAAGCCGUCGUUCUGCUCGAGGAGGAACGACGCGUGUGCCGACUAG